rfam:Fukomys damarensis contig76436, whole genome shotgun sequence.
AUCACUUCUCAGCCUUUGGCUAAGAUCAAGUGUAGUAUCUUUCUAAUGUGCUAGGUCUGGAUACUUCUCACUAUUCAAAAGAAACAUACCACCUUAUAUCUAUAUAAUAAUAUAAUACCAAUUUCUGGGAAUCACAGGGUAAUUUAUUUUUCUGUAAACCUAAAGCUGCUGUAAAGGUAGACUAU